UUUAUGGAGAGUUUGAUCCUGGCUCAGGAUGAACGCUGGCGGCGUGCCUAAUACAUGCAAGUCGAGCGAACGGACGAGAAGCUUGCUUCUCUGAUGUUAGCGGCGGACGGGUGAGUAACACGUGGAUAACCUACCUAUAAGACUGGGAUAACUUCGGGAAACCGGAGCUAAUACCGGAUAAUAUUUUGAACCGCAUGGUUCAAAAGUGAAAGACGGUCUUGCUGUCACUUAUAGAUGGAUCCGCGCUGCAUUAGCUAGUUGGUAAGGUAACGGCUUACCAAGGCAACGAUGCAUAGCCGACCUGAGAGGGUGAUCGGCCACACUGGAACUGAGACACGGUCCAGACUCCUACGGGAGGCAGCAGUAGGGAAUCUUCCGCAAUGGGCGAAAGCCUGACGGAGCAACGCCGCGUGAGUGAUGAAGGUCUUCGGAUCGUAAAACUCUGUUAUUAGGGAAGAACAUAUGUGUAAGUAACUGUGCACAUCUUGACGGUACCUAAUCAGAAAGCCACGGCUAACUACGUGCCAGCAGCCGCGGUAAUACGUAGGUGGCAAGCGUUAUCCGGAAUUAUUGGGCGUAAAGCGCGCGUAGGCGGUUUUUUAAGUCUGAUGUGAAAGCCCACGGCUCAACCGUGGAGGGUCAUUGGAAACUGGAAAACUUGAGUGCAGAAGAGGAAAGUGGAAUUCCAUGUGUAGCGGUGAAAUGCGCAGAGAUAUGGAGGAACACCAGUGGCGAAGGCGACUUUCUGGUCUGUAACUGACGCUGAUGUGCGAAAGCGUGGGGAUCAAACAGGAUUAGAUACCCUGGUAGUCCACGCCGUAAACGAUGAGUGCUAAGUGUUAGGGGGUUUCCGCCCCUUAGUGCUGCAGCUAACGCAUUAAGCACUCCGCCUGGGGAGUACGACCGCAAGGUUGAAACUCAAAGGAAUUGACGGGGACCCGCACAAGCGGUGGAGCAUGUGGUUUAAUUCGAAGCAACGCGAAGAACCUUACCAAAUCUUGACAUCCUUUGACAACUCUAGAGAUAGAGCUUUCCCCUUCGGGGGACAAAGUGACAGGUGGUGCAUGGUUGUCGUCAGCUCGUGUCGUGAGAUGUUGGGUUAAGUCCCGCAACGAGCGCAACCCUUAAGCUUAGUUGCCAUCAUUAAGUUGGGCACUCUAAGUUGACUGCCGGUGACAAACCGGAGGAAGGUGGGGAUGACGUCAAAUCAUCAUGCCCCUUAUGAUUUGGGCUACACACGUGCUACAAUGGACAAUACAAAGGGCAGCGAAACCGCGAGGUCAAGCAAAUCCCAUAAAGUUGUUCUCAGU
rnacentral:rRNA from 1 species